ensembl:lncRNA
UGGUUAAACUAUUAUUAUUUUAUUUUGCUUGACUAUUGUCCAUUCUUUCUGUCUUUUCUCACUUCUCUGAUUACAUUUACUCUUUGGAACUCAGGGAAGGCCUCAGAUGCUACAGGUUUUCUACAGAUUAGAGGCAGGUGGAGGACUUGGGUGGGCAGGGAGUCUGUUCUGGGAAGGCCCCAUAGGAUGCUACUCAGCUACAAUAAUAUUCAACCAGAAUUAUUUAUCAAAUUGCUAAAGCCUGAGUUUGGGUUAGCGUAAGAGUGUGAAAACCCUGGGGACACCCAUGAGCUGGGGAUACAUUUUUUUACAGUCCUUUCCUUAGAGAACUCAAUCAAGUAUUCACAGAGAAAUAAGGUAAACUUAGAGAAAGUUUUUGCCUGGGGGAAGGAAACUUAAACUGCUGCAGAAAUACCCCAAGACUAUCUCCUAGAAGGAAGGUCUUAGUCUCUUGGGAGAAAGGCAACAAAACCAUACAGAGCCUGAGGGCCUUGGUGGAAACCCACUGCAGCUUGGUGAGGAGAACAAGAGAAAAAAAAAGCUUAACAUCAGGGAACUGCUGCUGCUACUACUAAGUCACUUCAGUCGUGUCCGACUCUGCGACCCCAUAGACGGCAGCUCACCAGGCUCCCCCGUCCAUGGGAUUUUCUAGGCAAGAGUACUGGAGUGGGGUGCCAUCGCCUUCUCCGAACACCAAGGAAAGACCCAGUAUAAUUAUGCAAGGGUGGACAGCAAGGCCUGUGAAGACCACACUCUCAAUACCUGGGUCACACCUACCUCUGAUUGAAGUUUAAUCAGGAUAUCAGAUAAACCCUCCUAAUCCACUACCAAUCUAAGGAGUGCUGAGUAAAAACAACGCUGAAACAGGGAUUCACUCCAGGAAGCAGUGCAAACAGAAGACACCAAGCCAGUUUUGGAAACACAAGCCAGGAUGCUGGCAACAACACUAGCAGCAGCAGUUAAAGCAUUGGAGGAAAUAUAACUAAAUUUCUCCAUUGAGAAACCUCAAAUGGACACCAAGCCUUCCACAGGAAUGGUAAUAAUGUAUUUCAACAUGUUAUUUAUCCUACAGAAUCAUUUCUAAUGAAGUUUAAUGAUGGCCAUGUUUAUAAAUAACAUCUGUGGCCUGGUCCUGAGCCUGAUACUUCUCAUAGUGAUUCUUGUCCAAAAUGGAAAAAGGUAAGCUGAUAUUCAGGAUACCCCAAAGCAGAAUGCAGCAAAGUGAAUAUUUAACCAGUUCGAAGAUUUUGGUUAUUCAUGAUGCACAUAUAACAGAUAUUAACGAAGACUCUUGAGAGUCCCUUGAACUGCAAGGAGAUCCAACCAGUCCAUUCUGAAGGAGAUCAGCCCUGGGAUAUCUUUGGAAGGAAUGAUGCUAAAGCUGAAACUCUAGUACUUUGGCCACCCCAUGCGAAGAGUUGACUCAUUGGAAAGGACUCUGAUGCUGGGAGGGAUUGGGGGCAGGAGGAGAAGGGGAUGACAGAGGAUGACAUGGCUGGAUGGCAUCACUGACUCGAUGGAUGUGAGUUUGAGUGAACUCCGGGAGUUGGUGAUGGACAGGGAGGCCUGGCGCACUGGGAUUCAUGGGGUCACAAGGAGUCGGACAUGACCGAGCGACUGCACUGAACUGAAUGUAUCCAAAUCAGUGAAUCCUAUCCUGCUUAUGUCUUCACAGUUUUCUUCAAGGGAAAAAAAUGUAGUUGUAGAGGUAAUAGGAGACUUGAAAAUCAUGAGAAGGAUAGAGUUGUGAAGUUAUGAAUAGUAAAGGUACAAACUGAGCUAAUCUAGCCUCUGAUUUUAUGUGACACUUUCAUCCUCUGUCAAUAUAAAGCUGGAGGUUUGGGGGCUUUUAUUUAUUUACUUUUAUUUUUAUUUGUCAUUUCAUCUGUACCCUGCCAAUGUUUUUGUAAUAUGGCCUUGAAUGUGCCUGUAUCUUUGUAAGACAUGUAUUUUCUUUAAUAUGUACAUACUUUUUGAUUUAGAUAAAGGUAUUACUUGCUAUAAACUGAUUCACUCUCAUUUUAUACAUGUUUUUAUUAAAUUCUAUCCAUGUUGCUGUACACCAACUAGUUCUUUCUGCUAGCUGAAGAGUAUGCUACAGAGCGUCACUACCAUGUUUCAAUUGCCCAUUCCCCUAAUAAUGUGAGCCUCAUUGGUGGCUCAGCAGUAAAGAAUCCACCCGCAGUGUAGAAGAUGGGGGUUCAAUACCUAGGUUGCAAAGAACUCCUAGAGGAAUAAAUGGCAGCCCACUCCAGUAUUCUUGUCUGAGAAAUCCCAUGGACAGAGGAGCCUGGCAGACUGCAGUCCAUGGGAUUGCAGAGUCGGACAUGACUUAUCAGCUAAACAACAACAGCAAUUAAUUAUGCACACACAGGUUGCUUUCAGUUCUUUCUCAGUGUGUAGUGUAAAGUAUGUUCCCAUCAAACAUCAUGGCUUAUGUGAGUUCAUAUAUAUAUCUAGGAGUGGAAUACACAUUAUAGUAUAUAUAAAUAUCUGGUAAAAUAUAUAUUAGGAUUGUUGUAUUAUAUGACUUUCUAAUUGUUGCCUAGCUGAUGGCUUUAAAAAGAUGUCCAACUUUUAAAUUUGCAGUUACUUGGAACUAAAAUGUUGAUGUAACUCUUUGUAUUUUAGUAGCUAAUUAGGCUUUCCUUUCUGUGUAUUGUUGUCCAAAUCUUUUCAUAUUCUCCAAUCAUAUAUGAAUAUAUUUCUUGUUGACUUAUAGGAAUUCUUAUUUAUUCUAGAUAUUAUCAUACAUACAAUAUAAGAUGUACCUUUUAUUUAAAACAUUUCUGAAAUUGAGCGCUAUCUAACAUGUAUGAAGUUCAACAUAGUUGUUUACACAGACAUAACUUUAAUAUCCAAAAAUGUAUAAAUGAGUGACUUCAAUAUUUGUGAAAAAGUUCUAAGUAAUGAUAAACUGUUGUAUCAUAAUUUAUUUUGUAAUAUUUUUUCUUAACAACAUACACACAAAUAAUAUUUCUGAGAAUCAAAGGCAUCUUACAGUUGAUAAAACACAGUAUUACUUAAUGGUUUUACUUACUGCCAGUUUUUUCCCCCCAAGUUUAUCAUUUGUCACUUAACUGAUAUAUUUUGUCAUCAUUCAAUAGAAAUUCUUGAUUUUUAGAUAAAUAAACUCAUGUUU